GGCGCUGUGGCUCAAGUGGUAGAGCGCUAGCCUUGAGAGCUUAGGGACAGCGCCC
rnacentral:tRNA from 1 species